CACACCGCCCGUCACACCAUGGAAGCCCGCUGUACCGGAAGUCGGUGAUGGAACCCGCAAGGGACCUAGCCGCCGAUGGUAUGACUGGUGACUGGGGUGAAGUCGUAACCAAGGUACC
rnacentral:rRNA from 1 species